GACGAACGCCGGCGGCGUGCCUAACACAUGCAAGUCGAGCGGGAUCCAUCCGGUGGCAACACCGGUGAAGAUCUAGCGGCGAACGGGUGAGUAACACAUGAGAAACCUGCCCCGAACUUCGGGAUAACACGGGGAAACCCGUGCUAAUACCGAAUACCCUCUACCGGUCGCAUGGCCGGAAGCGGAAAGAUUCAUCGGUUCGGGAGGGUCUCGCGGCCUAUCAGCUAGUUGGCGGGGUAACGGCCCACCAAGGCAUCGACGGGUAGCUGGUCUGAGAGGACGAUCAGCCACACUGGGACUGAGACACGGCCCAGACUCCUACGGGAGGCAGCAGUGGGGAAUCUUGCGCAAUGGGCGAAAGCCUGACGCAGCAACGCCGCGUGCGGGAUGAAGGCCUUCGGGUUGUAAGCCGCUUUCAGCAGGGAAGAAAAUGACGGUACCUGCAGAAGAAGCCCCGGCCAACUACGUGCCAGCCGCCGCGGUAA
rnacentral:rRNA from 1 species